UAAGGGCGCACGGUGGAUGCCUUGGCACUAGAAGCCGAUGAAGGACGUUACUAACGACGAUAUGCUUUGGGGAGCUGUAAGUAAGCUUUGAUCCAGAGAUUUCCGAAUGGGGAAACCCAGCAUGAGUUAUGUCAUGUUAUCGAUAUGUGAAUACAUAGCAUAUCAGAAGGCACACCCGGAGAACUGAAACAUCUUAGUACCCGGAGGAAGAGAAAGAAAAUUCGAUUCCCUUAGUAGCGGCGAGCGAAACGGGAAGAGCCCAAACCAACAAGCUUGCUUGUUGGGGUUGUAGGACACUCUAUACGGAGUUACAAAGGACGACAUUAGACGAAUCAUCUGGAAAGAUGAAUCAAAGAAGGUAAUAAUCCUGUAGUCGAAAAUGUUGUCUCUCUUGAGUGGAUCCUGAGUACGACGGAGCACGUGAAAUUCCGUCGGAAUCUGGGAGGACCAUCUCCUAAGGCUAAAUACUCUCUAGUGACCGAUAGUGAACCAGUACCGUGAGGGAAAGGUGAAAAGCACCCCGGAAGGGGAGUGAAAUAGAACCUGAAACCGUGUGCUUACAAGUAGUCAGAGCCCGUUAAUGGGUGAUGGCGUGCCUUUUGUAGAAUGAACCGGCGAGUUACG
rnacentral:rRNA from 1 species